UUCACUCCCAAAUCCUCCUCCAAACUCAGCUGUUCAUCGGUAAAUUUCUUGAGCCUUAUUUCAGUUUUGGCUAAAAACGACAUCACCAUAUUUUGUUCCGUUCUUAAUCGUUAUAGCAUUAUUUUCAGUUCCGUUUCGUCUUAGACGGAGUAGACUCACGCCUCUACAAAUCCCAUCUUUAGUUUCUCCAAACGACCCGUCGAUUGCUCGUGCUUCGGAGUCUACGCAGGGUUAGCUGUUUGCCAAGAUCACGUGGAUAAGCAAGCAGUUUAUGAUUUUAAAGCUGGUCCACUCCGAUUCUUUUGAUUCCUCGGAGGUUUUUAUGUUAUUAAACUAGUUUCUAUUUUCGAACUCUUAGACCGCAGUAGAACUAGUUUAUUUAUUACAUUUGAUUAUUACACUUUGGGAUUGUCGAUAUAUUCGAUUAUUUAUAUUGGCAUGAUUACUCUGGAUUACGAUAUUGUUAUAUAUAAGGCAUGAUGUUGAACAUUUAAGAUAUUUAAGUUAUUUAUAUUAGAACUGUAAUAUAAAUUGCUAGACCUAGGUUGGAGUCUCGGUUGCCCCCGAGCAAUUUCUGCAGGUUUAAAUAUUUAUUUGAUUUCCGCGAGGCUUGCUACGGGUUUUGGUACAACCAUACCCAUACCCUAGCG